rnacentral:rRNA from 1 species
GGAAGAUAAUGACGGUACCCAUAGAAGAAGCCCCGGCUAACUUCGUGCCAGCAGCCGCGGUAAUACGAGGGGGGCAAGCGUUGUUCGGAAUUAUUGGGCGUAAAGGGUGCGUAGGCGGUUUGACAAGUCUUAUGUGAAAUCUUCGGGCUCAACCCGAAGUCUGCAUGGGAAACUGUCGGGCUUGAGUAUGGGAGAGGUGAGUGGAAUUUCCGGUGUAGCGGUGAAAUGCGUAGAUAUCGGAAGGAACACCUGUGGCGAAAGCGGCUCUCUGGACCAUAACUGACGCUGAUGCACGAAAGCUAGGGGAGCAAACAGGAUUAGAUACCCUGGUAGUCCUAGCCCU